CCUACGGGAGGCAGCAGUAGGGAAUCUUGCGCAAUGGGCGAAAGCCUGACGCAGCCAUGCCGCGUGAAUGAUGAAGGUCUUAGGAUUGUAAAAUUCUUUCACCGGGGACGAUAAUGACGGUACCCGGAGAAGAAGCCCCGGCUAACUUCGUGCCAGCAGCCGCGGUAAUACGAAGGGGGCUAGCGUUGCUCGGAAUUACUGGGCGUAAAGGGAGCGUAGGCGGAUAGUUUAGUCAGAGGUGAAAGCCCAGGGCUCAACCUUGGAACUGCCUUUGAUACUGGCUAUCUUGAGUAUGGGAGAGGUGAGUGGAACUCCGAGUGUAGAGGUGAAAUUCGUAGAUAUUCGGAAGAACACCAGUGGCGAAGGCGACUCACUGGCCCAUUACUGACGCUGAGGCUCGAAAGCGUGGGGAGCAAACAGGAUUAGAUACCCUGGUAGUCCACGCCGUAAACGAUGAGUGCUAGUUGUCGGUCGAUGCAUGCAUGUCGGUGGUACGCGACGACUAACGACAUUAAGUACACUCCGCCGUCGGGAGGUACGGUCGCGAAGAAUUAAACUAACGAAAGAAGUAGUACGGCGUGAGACGUCGCCGACGGACGACGACGAGGGAGGAGG
rnacentral:rRNA from 1 species